CUGAUAGCAACCAUCAUAAUGCCCCACCCAGCUUCCGGCACCUUUCACCACUCCGGCACAAACCGACACAGCUUUGCGAUCUCGCCAGCAUGCAGAGUCUGAUGUCUUCCCUAUAGAUGAUUCCAGAGACUCUGUGAGGCCACUAUUACAAGGUGAGACGCUUUGCGUUGAUUGGUGCUGCUGGACCACACUGGAGGUGCGAGUCCGCUGUGUAAUGGUUUAUGCCAUUACAAAGGAGCUGGCCUCUGUACUCAACUGGGCAGGGAAAAAAUACCAAGGACCAGACAAAGCAAAAAAGGGCAUUUAAAGAGA